UUUAAUUGUUUGUGAUUUGCAGUAAUGGUUAUGUGGCUGUGUGUAACGAAUAAUCUCAGUAAAACUGAUCAUUAUUAGCUCACAAAAAUAAUACAAUCACUGCCUAAUUUACCGUUUUACAUUUACAUAUUUUACUAUUAGAAGGAUUGGAAAAUACUUGGGCCUACAAAUUAAAAUAUUUUGGAGUUUUUCAUUUUUUGAUUGUGAUGUAUGUUUCAAAGCAGUCGUGACAUUGAAUUGUGUUAGAUUACAGAAAUACGCACGUGUUUAUUUAGUAAAGAGAAAAUUGUAGGGAAUUUAUAGUGAAUUUUAAAGCAUAGUGCGUCUGUAGAAGUUUUCCAUUUUGACAAUAUUGGCCUUAAAUUUACAUUGAAUUCCAGAACAUUCUCUCUUUAUUGAAUAACCCUGACAAUUAUCUACAUAAUGACUAUUUAAAAAAUAUGUGCUUUUAAGAAGUUCUGCAAUAGUACAUAAUUAUGUACUUUGAUGCCCACUACCAAAGCUAACCACCAGAGGGUGCAACUCUACUGGCACUGUGUUACUGUUAACAAAACCGGCAAAUGCUUUUGCAUUUUGCUUUGUACCAAGUUAGAUUUGUGGUUGUUAUUAAAGGGACACUCCACUGCCCAAAUAAAAAAAGAAUCACUGUUUAGUAGCUAUACUCCGGAUGAAACCUUCCAUGCAUUUAAUUACCGUAUAUAUUCAAGUAUAAGUCGAUCCGAAUAUAAGUCGAGGCCCCUAAUUUUACCCCAAAAAACUGGGAAAACUUAUUGACUCGAGUAUAAGACUAGGGUGGGAAAUGCAGCAGCUACUGGUAAAUUUCUAAAAAAAAAUUAGAUCCCCAAAAAAUUAUAUUAAUUGAAUAUUUAUUUACAGUGUGUGUAUAUAAUGAAUGCAGUGUGUGUUUGUGUAGUGUGUGUAUAUAAUGAAUGCAGUGUGUGUGUGUGUAUAUAAUGCAGAGUGUGUUUGUAUAUGUGAUGCAGAGUGUGUAACUUUGGUGGGGGGUGGGCAUUAUUAUUUUUGUAUUAUUAUUAUUUUAAUAUUAAAUGUUAUUUUUAUUUUAAUAUUAUGACAUUUUAAUUUUAUUAUUAUUAAAAUGUUUACUUUAUUUUUUCGUCCCCCCUCCCUGUUUGAUACCUGGCCAGGGAGGGGGUUCUAUAUUGUUCCCUGGUUGUCUAUAUUGUUCCCUGAUGGGCUGUGCAGGAGGGGGGCUGGGAGCAAGCUGUUACUUACCUUUACAGCAGCUCCUUUCAGCUCUCUUCUCCUCUGUGCCGUUCAGCUCCACUGUAAGUCUCGCGGUCUGCGUGCUGCGCGGAGCGUUGCCAGGGUAACCUGUGGCGAUGCUCUGACGGCCGCGGCUCUGUAAUGAGCCCGGCGGUCCUGGUCUGUAUUAUGGUAAUGUAAGUUGCCAUAAUACAGACACUGACUCAAGUAUAAGACAAGUGUGGGGCUUUUUCAGCACAAAAAAUGUGCCGAAAAACUCAUCUUAUACUCGAGUAUAUACGGUAUGCAUGUUUUCAUUGAAGCUAUAUCUAUAAACAGCUUGCAAACACUGUAGUUCUCCUGUCCGCAGCCUUUGCAAUCUCUUCUCUUCUAUCCCCACCCAGACUUUCUGUGACUGACCAAUCACAGACUUCCCAGUGCAGCUCAAUGAGAACGCUUUGUAAGGCAGGUGCUCUGGGUAGUUGCUGCUUUUUAAGUUCAGUGCAAAUAAGAUGACCCAACCAGGAAGGAAUAGGACCUGUUGCUGCGUGAAAAGCCAGUGGGGUGUAACCAGUAUAAUUUAUAAAAGUUUCAAUUUCUAUUGAAAUCUGCGCUUUUUCAAAAUGAAAAAAGAGGACACAAUCUUCACACAUACAGCUUUUCUGCAAGAUCAAGUGCUCUAAGGGUCUGGAGUGUGCCUUUAGGAGGCAAAGUAAAGAGGUUGCUAGACAGUUUUUUUUUUUUCUUUUGAUAAUUAUUUUUAUUAUUGUUAACUCCACCUCCGACAGUAUCAUUGGGGCGUCCAUAGCCUGCCCAGAAUAAGAAUGUGUCCGUUCUGUGCAUGUUUGGCAUCUGCUGUCACCUCCACUCCACCCACCCCCUUCCCUGUCCUUUCCAGACCUUCAGAAUUUGGUUAAAACCAAAACAAUCUUGGGAUUGAAUGUGGGAAUUGAUCAACAGGUAUUCUGCUCAUGUAUAAUUAACUCUAUUUAUUGAAUCCAAAAAUAUAUUCCCAUGCUGGAUACAUGUCAUUGAUGGAUAAUUCUCUCCUAAAAAGUACUAUCCGAUACAAACAGCAGGGAAGCUAUAAACUGUUUAUUAAACAAAAUAAAAGAACCAAAAAAGCAUAACCCAUUGUAUUUCCGUAGAUGUGGAACUCCUCACACCAAGUACACAAGUUGACAAAUAUGGGCACAAUGUUAGCGCCACCCCAAUCCCACAUCUGAUUGUAAACUUUUAUUUAACAAAUUCUUUAGACAAAUUUUGCAAGAUAAACACUUGGUACUUUUCUGGGGAUGUCACUUUAGAAACUACAUGUUGAUACUCUUAUUAAAGAAAUACCUGUCAGAAUCCAGUUGAUCUUUUUCUGUGCUGAGAUAAUUGUUCUUAUGCGACAUGCAAAUUUCAUUAUGUUUUCGUUUUUUUAAUAAAU